rfam:Endosymbiont of Bathymodiolus septemdierum str. Myojin knoll DNA, complete genome.
GGGGAUGACAUGGCUUCGACGAGGAGUUGGAUCUCAAGGAUGCAUGCCGAGGAUGAGAAUAACUCGUAACCGUUUCUCAAAAAAGAUAGUUGCAAACGAAAACAACUACGCUCUAGCUGCAUAGCUAGCCGCUCCCUUGAAGUUGUCUGUGCUUCUUGGACAGCGGUCGAUUACAGACUCGCUAGAAUUAUUGGUUUAGGGUAAUUCGGUUAAAACCAACUAAAAUCGCACUUACAUCCCUGAUGGUCGGGUGGUAAAUUGUUAAACUAAUAGGCUAAACUAAGCAUGUAGAUUCUUUGUUUGAAGGUUUUCGGACGGCGGUUCGAUCCCGCCCAUCUCCACCA